CUUUUAAAUGUGACCAUUGCGUGACUUUUUAAGAUUCACUGGCUGAUUACUUAAUUAGGAUUUAACUUAAGUGACAACGAUUGAUAGUAUUUAUUUUUAUUCCCUAUUUCAGAGUGUGCCUUUUUGUUAGACUCUAUAGUUGCUGUGUAAGUAUUGUUAAUACAUGUCUUACAAUAACACAUAAUGGUCAUAAUUUCAUAUUUCCUGUCAAUUGUUAAAUUUUUUUUUUUA